rnacentral:rRNA from 1 species
UUGAGCGCUGGCGGCAGGCCUCACACAUGCCAGUCGAGCGGAUGAAGGGAGCUUGCUCCUGGAUUCAGCGGCGGACGGGUGAGUAAUGCCUAGGAAUCUGCCUGGUAGUGGGGGAUAACGUCCGGAAACGGGCGCUAAUACCGCAUACGUCCUGAGGGAGAAAGUGGGGGAUCUUCGGACCUCACGCUAUCAGAUGAGCCUAGGUCGGAUUAGCUAGUUGGUGGGGUAAAGGCCUACCAAGGCGACGAUCCGUAACUGGUCUGAGAGGAUGAUCAGUCACACUGGAACUGAGACACGGUCCAGACUCCUACGGGAGGCAGCAGUGGGGAAUAUUGGACAAUGGGCGAAAGCCUGAUCCAGCCAUGCCGCGUGUGUGAAGAAGGUCUUCGGAUUGUAAAGCACUUUAAGUUGGGAGGAAGGGCAGUAAGUUAAUACCUUGCUGUUUUGACGGUACCAACAGAAUAAGCACCGGCUAACUUCGUG